GCCUGAUUUGGUAGUGGAUUCCGGAACCUUCGCAAAAACAAAAACAAGAAUCACUGACUGAAAGAGAGAGUGAGAGAGAGAGAGAGAGAGAGAGAGAGUUCGGUUCGAUCUUGGUCUCUGCUGUGGUUCUUCGUCUCACUUAGAUUGAUAGUGAGGGAGGAAUUUUGGUUUGUGGUUUUGAAUUGAUUUGGUUCUCUAAGUCAGCACGAUUUUUUUCAGAGGGAUCUUGCAACAGGAGAAGGGAGAGACAGAAACACUGACAGCGAAGUGGAGGUCGAUAGCAAGGUUUGGAUCCGGUUUGGGAGGGAUCUUUUAGCAGGAGAAGAGAUGUCUGGCUCAAUUGCACUGUGAAAGUGAUAUUGGCUUAAUCACUUUCAAAAUUUGGACGCUUCUGGUCUUGAUCUUCUUCAUCAUCACUACUUUCCAAGCUGCUUAGUUUAUUGUAUCUACUCCUCCUUCUGUAGCACUCUGUCUUCAUGCUUCACCAAAAUGGGGGGAGAGAGAGAGAGAGAGAGAGAGAGAGAGAGAGAGAGAGAGAUUACAAUACCAAAGAGAAAUAGGGGUGAAAGGCCAGGGAUUAAUGACCACCACCAAAAGUUGGUGUGGUUCAGAGGUGGACUUUAAAUAAAUUAGACCAAAAGUAAACAUCAUUAAAUGGAGGAGGGUUAUAGGGAGAGUUAUUCAUGCCCAGAGCCCUUUUGGCUUCUGCUAAUUUGAGAGUUGAAAGUGUUUUUGGUAGCGUUUCACAAAAGUAACUGAGGUGUUACAUGCUUUUUAACAAAGCACCUGUAGAAAUGCACUUGAGAAGCUUAUAAAACAGAAGUUCUUCCUACAAAAGCAGUGUCAAGGGGACCUAAAGUGGUCUUUGGUCAUGAAGAAACUAUGAAGUACACUAGGUAGAUGUGUAAUUAAAAUUCCAAGAACCAAAAGUCAGAAAGCAGCAAUGGAGAGCAUGUGACUUGAGUUAAGCAUGAGCAACAGAGAGAGAGAUAGUGAGUAGAAGCGGAGAAAGAAGAUGCACAGUUUUUUUUUUUUUCCCAGUAGAAAAGGGAUAAUUGUGUUUGGGUAGAUGAUCUACUACAACUAAACCAAUCGUGCUUGGGUUUUGAAGAUAAUCGUCCUAGAUCAACCAGAUGAGGGACCAUCGCUUCUAAUUUGUUUCAUUUAUUCUUCGUCAGUUGGUUUCGCAAGGGUUGGGUUACACAUAUAAUCAGUGCCCCCCCUCUUUUUUUUUCAAUAUUGCUAUAAUUUUUUCAUUCAAUUGAUGUAGUUGUGCUUCAUUAUUUUCAUAUAGCUAGGAUUCUGAAUAAAGCCAAGGAGCUAUAUUGUUGGUUAUUGAUUGUUUGUAUUGUUUUUUGAAAUUGGGUUGCAGAAAACAGAAGAAGUGUUGCUGGGUUUCGGAUUUCAGUGAUUGAAGUUUUCAGUAUUGUGGAUUGGAGUAUCUCCCCGUUUUUGCUUUGUUGAUUGGAUUUUGCCGCAUCCAACAUCGAAUUAAUUAGGGAUACUGUUUGUUGUGGAGUUUGCGAUUUCAGUAAUUGGUUGGAAGAGGUUGGAGGUCAGAUUUUCAUCAUGAAGCACAACUACAAUUAUCAGUUUUGGGUUUGGGAUCAAUUUUGGUCUUCAAUUAUCAAAAAACAAUUGUUUUCAAUCUAUAUCCUUAUUUAUUCAUUUAUACUUUUAAUAAUGGCUCUGCUUUUAAUAAUGGUUUUGUUUUGGUUGUGGCUCAUGGAAGCACAAAUUUCCGCGUAAUGUGCACAUUGUUUGGAGUCCAGGAGAAAUUCAAGAAGUUUCCUGGGAAGUUCAACCAAAGUUCAGUUGGGAGUCCUUGAGUACAAUUUCGCAUCCAACUGAACUACACUACCAACUGAACUUCCUUGCACUCCCUUUUAGAUUAGAUCUUUACUUCAAUUUCCAAAACUUUUGUCUGCUUCAUUUUCAGUUUCAUUAAUAUCAUAUUAACUACCGCAGCAAAGCGCGCUGAGUUUAGGUAGUGUCUGAAUAAUUAUUGCGAUCUGAUUAAUUAUUGCGAUCUGAAUUAUUGAUGAGUGGUUCCUAAGGAGUAGCCUUGGGAGUUUGCAAAUGAGUGGUUCCUAAGGAGCAGACACAUUUAUUGAUAAAUUUUGUGAGGAGAAAAUGCAACAAUAACUUUCCCUCUCAGAGUUCAUGUUCUGGAUUUCUGUUUCAGGGUUGGACCUAAUUUUCAAGUUUGCAACUUUAUAAUCCCAAAAGCCAGAAGAGAUUUAGGGCUUGACAUAGUCUAAAAGCCAUGGGAGAAGAUCAUGUGUACACAAAAGAUCGGAGGGUUGAAUCCAUUCCAGAUGAGCUCCUUGCAUUCUCUGGCUCACACCCACUUAACAGUAAUUGGCUCAGGUGAUUUAUAUGAUCUCUUAUAUAUGCCAAUGUAAUUCAUACGUGAUCUGUAUGAUAUAGUAUUGUUUAAUGAUUACAUCAGUUUAAAUGGUUAGUUGUAGUUGGAGUAACCGUAUCAGAAUUGCUUAGUGAGGGUGCACUUGCUAUUGUUCGUUUCUUAUUCUUUCCCGUUGUUUGAAUUGUACUUAACUAUCUCAAUUAUUUUUGCACGAUCAAAUUGCUUUUCCACAGUGAUUUCUAUUCAAUGUUAAUGAUCUGUAUGUCUUAUCAACUUCACGUUGUUCAAUACGUAAUUUCUGUAGCUCUGUUUAUUUGAAUCAGUCAUGUAGAGUUUCUAAACUGUAAUACAUUGCCCUAAAAAGGUUAUUCCCUUUUCCUUUCCAGUUUUAAUAGUGAGGUUUCUUCCCUUUUCCUUUCCCUCACAAGCUGGAAUAUGGGCUUUUGAACAUCAAGCCUGAACGUAUGGAUACUUUCUUUUCCUGUUAUCUAUAGUCAACGUCUUAGUUUGAGUGAACAAAAACUAGAGGAUCAGAGGUUUUGACUCCACAGAGGUGCACUCUCUACUGUGAUUGUAUUUGUUUAUGCAGAUUCUGUAUGCAAGCAGGUCUGCCAUUACCCUGAUCCUGUAACAAGGUUGGCUAUAUAUGUUUGUUAUAUUGUUGGCUAGAGUGAGUGUUUUAGAAUGUGCAAAAAAAAAAAAUGUAUCUACUAAUGUUCCAAUUAUGUUUAUUCGACCCAAAAGUUGUGGUUGCACAGUUGUGUGCAGUCCUGCCUUACUUUGAAUGCCAAUUUAGGAUGGCCUGCCUUUGGAAUGUUGAUUUAUGUGAUUCUGUAUUUGUCCUA